rnacentral:pre_miRNA from 13 species
GCCCGUAUGGAAAAAUCGAUUUUUCCAUGCGGGCUCUUAAGUGAGCCGCAUGCAACCUCUUAAGAGGCCUGUAUGGGAAAAUCGAUUUUUCCAUACGGGC